AAUUUGCUUUAAAAAGUUUUACACUGUAUUGUGUACAUUUUCCAGGUCAGUGGAUAUAAAGUGAAUUUCAUGCGCAUCCGUGUGAAGAGACCACCAAACAGGCUUUGUGUGAGCAAUAAAGCUGUUUAUUUCACCUGGGUGCAGGUGGGCUGAGUCCGAAAAGAGAGUCAGCGAAGGGAGAUGGGGUGGGGCUGUUUUAUAGGAUUUGGGUAGGUAAAGGAAAAAGGGGGGUUGUUCUCUGGUGGGCAGGAGUGGGGGGUCACAAGGAACUCAGUGGGGGAGCUUUUGAGCCAGGAUGAGCCAGGAGAAGGAAUUUCACAAGACAAUGUCAUCAGUUAAAGCAGGAACAGGCCAUUUUCACUUCUUUUGUGGUGGAAUGUCAUCAGUUAAGGCAGGAACUGGUCAUCUGGAUGUGUACGUGCAGGUCACAGGGGAUAUGAUGGCUUAGCUUGGGCUCAGAGGCCUGACAUUCCUGUCUUCUUAUAUUAAUAAGAAAAAUAAAAUGAAAUAGUGGUAAAGUGUUUGGACAGCGAAAAUUUUGGGGGAUGGUAUGGAGAGAUAAUGGGCGAUGUUUCUCAGGGCUACUUCGAGCAGGAUUAGGGGUGGCGUGGGAACCUAGAGUGGGAGAGAUUAAGCUGAAGGGAGAUCUUGUGGUAAGGGGUGAUAUUGUGGGGUUGUUAGAAGAAACACUUGUCAUGUAGAAUUAUUGGUGAUGGCCUGGAUACGGUUUUGUAUGAAUUGAAAAAGUAAAUGGAAUAAGAGGAGAAAAGCAGGUAUUAAAGGACUAAGAAUUGGGAGGACCUAGGACAUAUAAUUAGAGUGCCUUAGGAGAUUCAUCAUAGUCCUGCCAGCAAAAAUUAUUUAUUUACUUCAAGAGUUAAGAGCGGUGGUUUGGGGAUAACACCAGGAGAUAUCAGCUGUGCUGGCUUGGAGAAACAGUGUAAACUGGCAGUGUAAACAAGAGCAGGGCAUGUAUGAGUAGUUGAGAACGGUGAAUAGAAGUAGGACUAGACAGAAGACAGUAGGGAUGACAAGUUUUUGGGGCACAGUCCAAGUUGGUCUAGUGUCUGGAAUGAGACUGGGGCCUAAUAAAAAGGAGCUCAAGUGGGCUGUACCUUGUAGCAUUCCGAGGACAGGCCUUAAUUCUGAGAAGCGAAAGUGGUAAAAGUAUUGUCCAGUCCUUUUUAAGUUGGUGGCUGAGCUUGGUGAGGUGUGUUUUUAAAAGACCAUUAGUCUGUUCUACUUUUCCUGAAGACUGAGGACUGUAAGGGAUAUAAAGGUUUCACUGAAUACUAACACCUGAAAAACUGCUUGGCUGAUUUGACUAAUAAAGGCUGAUCUGUUAUCAGACUGUAUAGAGGUGGGAAGGCUAAACUGAGGAAUUAUGUCUGACAGAAGGGAAGAAAUGACUGUGGUGGCCUUCUCAGACCCUGUAGGAAAGGACUCUACCUAUCCAGUGUAAGUGUCUACCUAGACUAAGAGGUAUUUUAGUUAUCUGACUCGGGGCAUGUUGAGUAAAGCUAAUUUGCCAGUCCUGGGUGGGGGCAAAUCCUCGAGCUUGAAGUGUAGGGAAGGGAGGGGGGCCUGAAUAAUCCUUGAGGAGUAGUAGAAUAGCAGAUGGAACACUGAGAAGUUAUUUCCUUGAGGAUAGAUUUCCACGAUGGAAAGGAAAUGAGAGGUUUUAAGAGGCGGGCUAGUGACUUGUACUAUAGCAUAGCCUGCCUUUGCUGGUGUGUGGCGAUUAGGCCUGGUGGAACUGCCAUCAAUAAACUAAGUGCGAUCAGGGUGAGAAACAGGGAAGAAGGAAAUGCGGGGAAAUGGGGUGAACGUCAGGUGGAUCAGAGAGAUGCAGUCAUGAGGGCCAGGUGUGGUAUCAGGAAUAAUGUGGGAGGCCGGAUUGAAGUCCCGGCCAGGAACAAUGGUAAUUGUGGAACUUAACAAAGAGUGAGUACAGCUGAAGGAGCUGGGGAGCAGAAAGUAUAUGCGUCAGGUAUGAGGAAGAAAAUAGAUUUUGGAAGUUAUGAGAAAUGUAGAGAGUAAGUUGAGCAUAGUUUGUGAUUUUGAGGGCCUCUAAAAGUAUUAGGGCGGCAGCAGCCGCUGCACUGAGAUAUGAUGGCUAGGCUAAAACAGUAAGGUCAAGUUGUUUGGACAGAAAGGCUACAGGGUGCAGUCCUGGCUCUUGUGUAAGAAUUCUGACCGCACUAACUGUGCCUAGGAAGGAAAGGAGUUGUUGUUUUGUAAGGGAUUGAGGUUUGGGCGAUUAGUCGGACACGAUCAGCAGGCAGAGCACAUGUGUUUUUAUGAGAAUUAUGCCGAGAUAGGUAACAGAUGAGGAUGAAAUUUGGGCUUGACUGAAGUAAUGGGGGCUGUCUGUGAAGCCUUGCGGCAGUACAGCCCAGGUAAUUUGCUGAGCCUAAUGGGCGUCAGGGUCAGUCCAAGUGAAAGCAAAGAGAGGCUGGGAUAAAGGGUGCAGAGGAAUAGUAAAGAAAGCAUAUUUGAGAUCCAGAACAGAAUAAUGGGUUGUAGAGGGAGGUAUUGAGGAUAGGAGAGUAUAUGGGUUUGGCACCACGGGGUGGAUAGGCAAAACAAUUUGGUUGAUAAGGCGCAGAUCCUGAAGUAACCUGUAAGUCUUGUCUGGUUCUAGGACAGGUAAAAUGGGGGAAUUGUAAGGAGAGUUUAUAGGCUUUAAAAGGCCAUGCUGUAGCAGGUGAUUGAUAAUAGGCUUUAAUCCUUUUAAAGCAUGCUGUGGGAUGGGAUAUUGGCAUUGAGCGGGGUAGGGGUGAUUAGGUUUUAAUGAGAUGGUAAGGGGUGCAUGAUGGGUCACCAAGGAGGGAGUAGAGGUAUCUUAUACUUGUGGGUUAAAGUUGGGGGAUACAAGAGGAGGACGCAAAGGAGGCUUUGGAUUGGGAAGAAGGGCGGCAAUGAGAUGCAGCUGUAGUCCAGGAAUAGUCAGGGAAGCAGAUAAUUUAGUUAAAGUGUCUCGGCCUAAUAAGGGAACUGGGCAGGUGGGGAUAACUAAAAAGGAGUGCUUAAAAGAGUGUUGUCUAAGUUGGCACCAGAGUUGGGGAGUUUUAAGAGGUUUAGAAGCCUGGCUGUCAAUACCCACAACAGUUAUGGAGGCAAGGGAAACCGGCCCUUGAAAAUAAGGUAAUGUGGAGUGAGUAGCCUCCGUAUUAAGAAGGGGAAGUACUUACCCUCCACUGUGAGAGUUACCCAAAGCUCGGCGUCCGUGAUGAUCUAGGGGGCUUCUGAGGUGAUCAGGCAGCGUCAGUCUUCAGCUGCUAAGCCAAGAAGAUCUGGGAAGGAGUCAGAGAGCCUUGGGCCAGAGUUCCAGGGGCUCUGGGAGUGGCUGCCAGGUGAGUUGGACAGUCCAAUUUCCAGUGGGGUCCUGCACAGAUGGGAAGCGGCUUAGGAGGAAUCCUGGGCUGCAGGCAUUCCUUGGCCUGGUGGCCAGAUUUCUGGCACUUGUAGCAAGCUACUGGGGGAGGAGGUUCUGGAGGAACGCCUGGCUGCUGCGGUUCAGGUGUUUGGAAGUUCUUGUGUGCUGGAGAUGUGGCUGGGGUUUGUCUCACAGUGGAGGCAAGGAAUUGCAACUGUUUUCUAUUAUUGUACACCUUGAAGGCUUCUCCUUGGGCUACUUGAGCAUCCACAGUGUGGCAACUGGGUUCCAAGAAUGAGUUUUCCAAGAGGCAGCAGUGGAAGCUGCCAGUGUUGUAAGAUCUCGGCUUGGAAACUGGCACGGCGUUACUUCCACCUUACUUCAUUGGUCAAGGGAGUUCCAGAGCCCACUCACAUUCAAGAAAAGGGCACCGAGAGCCCACCUCUUCAUGGGAGGACUGUCAAAAUUUUGUGGCCAUCUUUAAACCACCAUAGGGAUCACCUCUCUCUUUUUCCCGUUUUCAUAUCAUCAUCCUCUUCCUCCUCCUUCCCCAGAAUUGCAAAAAUAUGAGGAAUUAUUGCUACGUACCAGUUACUCUGUUCAGCGUCUCAGCAUCACACAAGAGAGAAGAGACAAUCACAUAUUCACAAGAGAAGCUUCAUUACCUCUACAAUCUAUCACUGAAGAAAAGUCAUUAUUUACGAUCGCUUAUAUUUAACAUGUUUCAAUAUUGCCUAUUACAUAAGCUAGACACUAGAUGGAAAACCAGGAUCAUUGAGACCCAGGACUUAAUCUGUUAUGAGUUUAUAGUCAACAGCUUUGACAUAAGACAGAAUGUGACUAAUUUUAUUGUAGAUCUGUAAGCAAUGUGUUAGGAGAGCACAAACAAGGGGGA
rnacentral:lncRNA from 1 species